UACAGAGGGUGCGAGCGUUAAUCGGAAUUACUGGGCGUAAAGGGCGCGUAGGCGGCCCGCUAAGUCGAACGUGAAAUCCCCGAGCUCAACUCGGGAACUGCGUCCGAUACUGGUGGGCUUGAAUCCGGGAGAGGGAUGCGGAAUUCCAGGUGUAGCGGUGAAAUGCGUAGAUAUCUGGAGGAACACCGGUGGCGAAGGCGGCAUCCUGGACCGGCAUUGACGCUGAGGCGCGAAAGCUAGGGGAGCAAACAGG
rnacentral:rRNA from 1 species